CCCGCCUCCUAAAGCCCGACAUUCUCACCUGUCAGUGAGAUCAGCAGGCAGCAGCCACAGAGCCGUGCAGGCAGUGCUCUGGCCGCCCCUCCCCUCUCCUCCAGAGUCCACUCGGGUCCUGACUGAGCCAGACAGUGACACACACAAGCUCCGCCUCCCACACUAUCCUGCUGCUGCUGCUGCUGCUGAUAUUGAUGCAUGAUGCCAGUGGGCUCCAGGUGCAGUGCACGUGAUACGUGGAAAUACUCAGAGGGCACCCCAACUGGCUGACUAUGAAGUUCCAUACCCAUAUGAAUUUCUCCCAUACCUGAGUAUCUGAGUAUCACACUCAAGUAUUUGACCUACAAGGCUUGACAGACUACGCAUCAUAAGUCCCAGUGGUGUAUUGGGUCUUUUUCAAGCAUUCAAGGACGAUUUUUUUCAUUGUUUUAUUUAUUCAUUUGACAAUACUUACCAAUCAAUUGAGAUUUACUCCUGAUGAAGUCUUGGAACAAGACGAAACGCGUUGGUUUAUCUCUAUUUAUGACGCUACCUCCGAAUCUACAAUAAGGAGAAGGAGGAGACUGUAGAGAUUCACCUACAUUUCUCCUCAGUGCAGCAACUGAAUUGUGUCAAUUGUGGGAGAAACUCACUACACUAUUUCUGUGCGAUUAUGGACAUUGAAUCUGUCAUUGUGUUUUUAUAAUACAUUUUAUGAAGAAAUAUGUUAUCAUUAUGUUCUAAU